GUAGCUUUCACAUGGGAGAUUUAUUUCCUGCUUUCUGGAGACAAAGGUGGGGGAAGUCUGAGUGUUCUUCUUGCACUGGCUGUUUCUUAAGUAACUUUAAUUCAGAAUAAUCAAUAUGCCAAAAGUGGCGCAUUUGGGACUGGCCUGCCCUAGAGCCUCAUCAAGGAAACCAGCAGGGGCUGGAAGAGCAGCUGGACUUGCCUUUGAGCCAAAUGGCCAAAGAACCAAAGAACCAAAGGUUGUGUGGCUGAACACAAGCCAUCUGCCCUGCAUCGUGUGGAAAUACAGUCAAUAGUUUUGGUCCACUUGCCUAAGCCUUGGUCUGGAGGCAGAGCUGCACCCCAUAGGACAACACCAAAACCUCCCUUAAGGAAGUCCUUCCUCCAUAAUCCAGAACACAUGAAGGAGAAGUCCCAAGAAAGAUGACACUGUGGAAGAUGAGCCAUGAAUAAGAAUUACAAAAUCUAUAAGAAAGACUAACAACAUUAAAGGUAGUUUUUAGACCCCCAGAGCAAGAAAAAUUUAAUUUUAGGAACUAGAGAUAAUAGACAAUCUUAAAGAGAUUUUAAAUAAAAAUGUAUAUAAAACUUCAGAGAACUAAAUGAAAGCAUAGCCACCAUAAAUAAGAACAGGCAUAUGAGUGUUUUUCUAUACUCAAGCAUCCACAUGGACAUACACAGAAAAAGAUCUGGAAGAAUAUACAUCAAGCUGUGAAUAGCAGUUAACUCUGAGAAUGGGCUGGGGGUAGAAAAGUGGGAGCACAUCCCUGUUGGAUGUCUAACCAAUUUUGCCACCUACCCUUUCAUUGGGAGCCAAGAGAGCUUGCUGCGAAGUUGUCACGUGCCAUUUCCUGAAGCCCCCAACCCUCCGAAGCCAGCUUCUCCUUUGGGCAAUAUCUGUAUUUAUCAAAUAUCUAUUAAUUUAUGGAUAUUUAUCCAUUGAAUAGGUAUUGAUAUACCUAUUAUUAUCUAGUGAAUAUUUUGACAUUCUUUUUAAUAUAGACUACAUGCCUGUUUUGUUGUAUUCCAGUUCACUCUUCACAGCACCCUGGGAGCCCCACACCGCCUGCAGAGACAGGGCCAUCUGACCAGCUGCCAACUCCAGGCCCUCUGGCACCUCCAAAUCCAGGCUGUGAGAACAUCAGCAGCUACCAAUCACGUUUAGACCGACCCUGUUUCGCGAUUUGGGACUUGACUUGCCCCUAGAUGGAAACUUCCCUUCGCGUGGAGAGACUGGCCUCAGAAAGCUUCCUAUUGACCUUCAGUAUGGGAGGAUACCAGACUGUACUAGUCUCCUUGGGCUGCCAUAACAGAAUACCAGGGACUGGGUGGUCUAAACCACAGAAACUUAUUUCCCAGCUCUGGAGGCUGGGAAGUCCAAGAUCAAGGUGCCCGCAAGGGACAGAGAGAGCUCUCCGGUGUCUCUUCUUUGACGGUACUCAUCCCCUCACGAGGGCCCCAGCCUCAUGACUUCAUCUAACCCUAAACACCUCCUCAAGACCCCACCUCCAAAUGCCAUCGCAUUGCCAGUUAGGG